GACGAACGCUGGCGGCGUGCUUAACACAUGCAAGUCGAACGGAAAGGCCCUGCUUUUGUGGGGUGCUCGAGUGGCGAACGGGUGAGUAACACGUGAGUAACCUGCCCUUGACUUUGGGAUAACUUCAGGAAACUGGGGCUAAUACCGGAUAGGAGCUCCUGCUGCAUGGUGGGGGUUGGAAAGUUUCGGCGGUUGGGGAUGGACUCGCGGCUUAUCAGCUUGUUGGUGGGGUAGUGGCUUACCAAGGCUUUGACGGGUAGCCGGCCUGAGAGGGUGACCGGCCACAUUGGGACUGAGAUACGGCCCAGACGCCUACGGGAGGCAGCAGUGGUGAAUAUUGCACAAUGGGCGGAAGCCUGAUGCAGCAACGCCGCGUGCGGGAUGACGGCCUUCGGGUUGUAAACCGCUUUCGCCUGUGACGAAGCGUGAGUGACGGUAAUGGGUAAAGAAGCACCGGCUAACUACGUG
rnacentral:rRNA from 1 species